UCUAUCCCAUAAUAGACGUUCUUACCCUACCUUUGUUUCGUUGCAUUUUUAAAUUAAAAUUUUUAACUAACAACAGUGGAACUAUUUUUACUUUAUAAAAGAGUUCUUCAUCCUUUGUUUACAUAGAAAUGAGAAGCUUUCGGCUUUAUUUAGACAUUUAUUUAUUACUUUUUUUACAAUGUAAAAAAAACGUCGCCAUGACUACGCUAUUCCAAGACACACCCACAAUGUUGACUACUGAAGAAACUUUAUAAUUAUUCUAAAAUUUAUCACAAAUAAAUAGUAAUAAUGAAGAAUUUGAUCUAGAUAUAUAGAUUAGAUCCAGAUUGUUGAACCAGUCAUUCAUUGACAGUUGUUUAUAGUAAACAAAUGAACAAAAUGAAGACACAAUGUCCAGAUGCAUGAAUUGGAGAUUUAGUAACAAAAGAAAAAGAACCUCAAAUGCUGAACAUAAAACUUAAUGGUUUUUAUAUGCUCUCAAAACAUCAAAUCUUGCGAAACCAGAGUCCUAUCAAUGGUCUUUUUCCUUCUAUUGGAUCUGACAAGAAUACAAAUAGAAUAGCUCAUGUUCAGGAUUCUAUUUACUGUGCAGUUGCUGUUUGGUCACUGGCUCAAGUUUAUAAAAAGAUUGAUGAUGACCAGGGCAGUAUCAUUAGUUGGGCCAAGCUGAUGAUAGGUAUGUUGCAAUGUUGGAUAUUCAAGUUGGCCUCCUUCAGUCUUAGAGCGACUAUGGUUCAUCUCAAACACUUUUCCAUGUGCAAUGUUGGAUAUGACAGGCAGAUAAAGUAGAAAAGUUCAAAUCCAAUUAAGUCCAGCAUAUGCCCUGCACUCUACAUUGGAUCUUGUCACUGGUUACACAGCAUACAGAGGCAAAGAAUAUGAACAUUUGCAAAUAAUAAAUGAACACCUUUGAUUUGGAUUCCUCAACUGAAGGAAACAUACCAAUACUAGAACAGUCUUAAAAAAACAGCAGUGAGGCCAACUAGAGUUGCACUAUAUCUCCUGGAUUACCAGUAAAUAGAAAUAGUGUUUCAGCAAGUAAUAUUUUCAUUUCUAAUUAUAGAAAAAAAAAAAAGUAAAGUUCACCUUUCAGACCUUGCAGUCUAUAGGGCAGAUGAUGAAAAGGUAAUCUUUUUCUGUGGCCCACAGUUAACAAGGGUGUCAUGAGGCCAGCACAAUGACCAACCGCCUUUACUUUUCCCAACUAAUGUCAGGUACCCAUUAGAGCUGCAUGGACUCAAAGGCCCCCAAAGAUCCUGAAAUUAAAAAUUGCAGCCUUUACCAGGAUUCGAACUUGGGACACCCAGCUCAGAAGCCAAGGGCUUACUGCUCAUCCAUUGCACCUCCAUUUCUAAUUAUACAAUUAUGAAUAUGUCAAAGAAUGAGGGAAAAAGAACUAUAACCUUUUUUUUCUCCCACAAUAACAAUGACCUUAUCAGUCACCUGCAACUAGGGAUCAUCUCAUGGAAAUUAGAGGAUGGCCUGGACAUUAGCUAUGGUCAGAACAAUGUUGUCCACAUAACAGUUCCCCUUGCUCCAAAAAAAAGUUUUUUUUUCCUAGGGAACACAGGUGCUGAUACUGCUUGGUAUUAAUGACUUCACAGGUUCUGCCAGGAUGUAGCAUUUGUGCUGCAAGCUGCCCAAAGGUCACAAGUUCCUGAUUUUUUCCACAGGUUUGACUACCAAAGCUAUUCCCAUGUUGGGCACAGCUGCAAAGCAGCAGAGUUUGGAUUCUGUUUUUUCCUUCUAGGUGGAUAGCAAGCUAAUGAGCCUUUCCUACCUGAAGAUUACCUGGCUUAGUUGCCAGUUGUUCAACUUUGCCCCUUCUCUGCCAGACACAGUAUCUUCUACAUCAUGGCACUUUCAUUAUUACCUGUACUUGAUGCUUGUACUCAUAUUGUUAUUUAAAUAACCAAUAACAAAAUCUUUCUUUUUAUUGUUAUUCUUGGUAUUUAUUGAAAAGGAUUUUUUUUUCAGUUCUCCCAAUUAACAAUGGUACAAUAUCAUGAAAGGCAACAUUGAUUUAAAAAAAGACACAUCUUAUCAUAUUUAUAAGUUGAAUUUGUAUUUGAUGAUUGCAGAAAUGAUGCUUAAAAUGAAUUAAUUUUUUCCUACUU